rnacentral:precursor_RNA from 14 species
GAUAGAAGAAAUUAAUUUCUUCCCCUGCAGUAAGGCUCCUUCCUGUGCUUGCAGGGGAGAAAUACGAACUGCACGCAGGAACCGAGUCCACCCCCAGUGUGGUGGUGCACGUCUGUGAGAGC